AAUAAAGCCUAGGAGUUAGGCGUUCCCAUUCCACCGGGGGAGAUUUCUGGCAAUCCAGAUUAUUUUGAAGG
rnacentral:tRNA from 1 species